rnacentral:lncRNA from 1 species
AGACCCUUCCAGCUCAUCUACUCUCAUUUAUCCAUUGGUUCCACCAGCCCUAAAACCAUUAUGCUCUUCGACUCAAAGAAGCUCAAAAGGUGGCAUGAAUUUGAAAACAUUGUAGAGGAGAGGAGGCAUGUCAGUGACUUGAAAUUUGCACCUCUUGUUUAUAAGGGGAUUAUUCCAUGUAAGCCAAGUAAUCUUAAAUAUAGUGUUCUUAAUUAUGAAGAGAGUUAUUAUGUCAUUGCUAUAGGAAGUUAGUGAGAUCUUGGAUCAAAUGAGUCACAGACUGCGUCUGGGAGCCAUUCAGUUUUUUGUCUUUCCCUUAAGCAAAAUAUUUAAACAAAUUUUCUCAAAGGUGUGUGUAAAUGUAGGAGGUAUUCAGAAACUGUAGCAAGCCAACCAGGAGCAUCUUGUUCUUCUGCUCAGUCAUCAAAGUUACGUUGACUUUCUGGUGUUGUCUUUUCUCCCAUACAAGCAUGAUUUGUCUGUGCCAGUUAUAGCAGCAGGAAUGGACUUCCUGAAAAUGAAACCAGUUGGUGAGCUGUGUGAAUGUCAGGUGCCUUUUUCAUGUGGUGCUGUUAUGGUGGCAAUAAACUCCACUGGGCUCUAUUCUCUGAAUAUGUAAAAACUAUUUUAGGAAAUGGUUAUGUGUCUGCUAAAUCUUUCCUAGAAGAGAAAAGAAGCUGCUCUGCCAAGAUACUGACUCCUAGAUGUAGUGUUCUGAAUGUUGUUAUGAAGUCAUUUUUUAAAAAAGUUUUUGAGACCUGCCUUAUCCCAAUUAGCAAUAGUUAUGCUAAGUUAUUAGAAGAAUAUAUCUAUCUAUCUAUAUAUAUAUAGAAAUACAUAUAUAUAUAUAUGUAUAUAUGUUUCUAGAGGUUGCUAAGCCAUAACAAUCUACAAUUGGAUUGUUGAAAGCCAGAAAGAUUCUCUCUGAAAUUUUUGAAACUUUCAUGCACACUUUGGAGAUGCUAUGUCACUUUGAUCUCUGACAGCUGGGAAGAUGAAUCAGAGCCCAUAGAACCUGGUUCUAAGAUACAUUCUUCAGAAGCAAUCUGAGGGCGUGGAUGCCUUUGUUACUGAAGCUGCCUACAAAAUGCAGCUUCUGCAAAUUGAAAGCCUGGUUCUGAGACCCUGGGCCUAAUAGUUUCUCUUCCGCUUCAGAACUAGCCAUCCAUGGACACUCAUGCUCUGGCGGGAAAGAUUUUACAGCUGAAAGGCUCACCCCAGGUGUUCAGAAGGUUUCCCAUUUGGCCCAAUAAUAAAGCUACCAAAGACAUGUCCAGUCCAACAUACUUCUGCAUUCCGACCUUACCAGCUUUGUCAAAGGCCAGGUGAUUCAGAAAGUGGACUCCGGAGACUCAAAAGUGGCUGAUGGAGUUAUUUUCCAGUAGAUCACUAUCCUCAUUGCUUGGCUUAUAGGAACCUGUUGCUCAACACUUUUGUCCAUCCUUCUUUUGUAGCUAUAACAGUGCAGAUGACAACUGGCUUCAGGAAAGAGGAUGUCUACAAUUGCUUUUUCUUCCUAUGUGAUUUUUUUUUUUCAGAGGAGUUCAUCUUCCUUCCAGGAAACACACUAAAGGACUUUGAAGAAGGCUGUUACCUGCUUUGUAAAUGUGAGGAGAACAUUCUAGUUACAGAUAAAGGAAAUAUCAUUUAGAAUUUUUAAUAGGACUCUUUACACUUUCGUGGAAUGUUAUCAGAUAAUUUGCAAAUACUUCUUGAGCAAAGAAGAGAACUACUUUACUUAGAAAUAGUACUUGGCUGCAGUUAGAAAAUACAUGUCAGCUUCUCAAUCAAGGUGCCUCUCAGUGUUACGAUGUAUUAUCUUCUGAUGUGCAGAAAAAUGCCUUAGCAGCUUUGUUGGUGGAGAAGAAAAGGAUUAAUAAUGACUAUAUAUUUCAUGUGAAUGAACUUGCCACAACCAAAUUAGGAUAAAUGUUUGGUUGUAAUACUCCAAUGGGAAAACCAUUCACUGCAAAACUUUAA